UCAUGGUCUGAGAUGGUUGACUCAGUCUUUUGCCAUGCUUAGAAAUGAUCUCUGCUUGCUUCUAUUUGAAAUCACUAAAAUAACAGUUUGUUUUCACUUUUUUAUAGAAUGCAACACUUGGAAAUUUUCCAAGUGUAUUGUCUCUGACGGUAAUAUAUGGAGAAUUUAGAGGGAAACAGGUUAUUCAUAGUUAAUGGUUGGAAACUAAGGUAAUUUAUAAGGUUAUUGCUUUAUCUGCUUAGCCAGACUAACACUGUUCACAUUUAAUAAUAUGUACAAUUGCCUUUAUUUUUAAGGUGACACAAAUUAAUUGUCAUACUUUACAGGUUUACAUUAAGAACAAGAAAUAAACAACUUAAUUAUUCCUUGGUAAUAAUGUUUGUACCUUUAAGAGCAAGGAUGAAUGAUUAGUCUUGUAAUUUUUAUUGCCAGCUGUUUUGUAAAAGUUCUGAGAUCACAAAGUCUAUAACUUGGUAAAAUCAGGUGGAUAAAUGUAUUAAUUAGGUGUUUGAAAAAGUACAGGGGAGAUGAGUAGUUUCGAACUUCAUUACUUAAUUGGGUGUAUUAGUUUCCUGUUGCUGCUAAACCCAAUCACCACAAGUUUUGUGGCUUUAAACAAGAUUUAUUAUCUUGUAGCGUUGAAGGUUGGAAGUCCAAAAUGGGUCUCACUGGGCUAAAAUCGAGGUGUCUGCAGGAUUGCAUUUCUCUUUUGGAGGAUCUAGGUGAGAACCUGUUUUCCUCCCUUCUCAGCUACUCAGAGCUGUCCCAGUCCUCGUGGCUCAUGGCUCUACCAUCUUGAAAGAUAGCAGCAGCCUAUCUCCCAUCCACAUUCUAAUUCUGACUCUCAGCCUCUUUCUUCUGCAUUUAAGAUGUUUAUGAUUACAUUGCGUUCACUUGGUAAUACAAGCUAGUUUUUCUAUUUUAAGUUGAGCUGAUAACCACCUGUACUUUUGUUUGCUUAUUUAAUUUCCAUUUGCCACAUAAUGUAACAACAAUAAAGAUUCAGAGAUUAGAAUGGGAAUUUUGAGCCGGCGCCGUGGCUCAAUAGGCUAAUCCUCCACCUUGCGGCGCCGGCACACCGGGUUCUAGUCCCGGUUGGGGCGCCGGAUUCUGUCCCGGUUGCCCCUCUUCCAGGCCAGCUCUCUGCUAUGGCCAGGGAGUGCAGUGGAGGAUGGCCCAGGUGCUUGGGCCCUGCACUCCAUGGGAGACCAGGAAAAGCACCUGGAUCCUGGCUCCUGCCAUCGGAUCAGCGCGGUGCGCCGGCUGCAGCGGCGGCCAUUGGAGGGUGAACCAACGGCAAAGGAAGACCUUUCUCUCUCUGUCUCUCUCUCUCACUGUCCACUCUGCCUGUCAAAAAAAAAAAAAAAAUACCAGUAGUAUCUUCUAUCAGGCAAAUAUUUAUUUUAUCUCUGUAAUAACCAUGAAAGUCUCAGUGAGCAGCAGUAGAUUUGCACCAUAGACCUUUCAGAAAAUGAAAUCUACCAGUAUAUCUAUUGUCAUUCAUGAGUUAAAAAAGACAUCCUUACCUUUUUUGUAGAUUACCUGAUUUCGUUUUUACUAUAUCAAUAAGUAAACAAUGAAGUGACCAUGGUACAACUUUUGUACCAGGAUAUAGGAGCCAAAAAUUAAUGAAGUGUUGCAAGACAUGCAUUUUAAGUUGAAAAGUUGAAGAACAUUUUGCAUUAAAUGCCUUAGCUACCAUGGUGAAUAUAUACUAAAGCUUGGAUAAAGACCUAAAGAUUAUUAUCAAACCUUUUCUAUUUCUGACGAUAGAGAUUAAUUUAUCAGAUCAAUGCCUGGUAGACUGCAAAUAGGAAAUGCAUUUAACUUCUCUCACUAGCUAGAACUAACCUGUUUAUAAAUGCUCUAAUUAGAUUGAUGUACAGAAAUAACUAGAGUGGGUAAAAUAGAUAAAAAAAAUUUAAAUGCACCUGUAUCACUAAUAAAAGAGCAUGUUCCCUUUCCGUGUUCAAUGUACUAUAAUCAUUCUAUGUUACCCUAUUCAUUUUAAAUCUAGUAUUUAAAACUUUGAAAAAUGCUUCAGAAAUACCUUGCACCGUAAAGUAUAAUUCUCAUCAACCUUGUUUUAUCUCACUCAAAUGUGUUUAGACCCCCAGUAGGCAUGCUCUUUCCUGUGCCAGGAUCUAUUAAUGAUAAUUACUUAGAAUACUAUCCCCAUUCUGUGAUACCAUCACAUCAUUGUGAGGAAGAUUGUGAUCUUAUCCCAGCCUAUUCUGUUUAACUCUGACACUCCUUCUAUUAUAGUGUGGCUUUGAUAAGAUCAUGCCUGUUAGGAUCAGACAUUAGUUGGAAUCAAUAUUUGAAAAUGUGCCUGUUUUUGCUUAAUAGUAAAGUUAGUGUGAGGAUUGAAGUGAGAUCAUUUGUUGGAUGAGAUUAUACAACUUCAUCAUGUCAAGGAUUCUUUCAAAUACUUUAUGUUCUAAAGCAGAAAAUGAGUUCUUGAGUUAACCAUGUUUUCACCAACCAUCCAUCCAUCUGGAUGUUUGAGUCUAAGCUUUUAGGUAGAUAGAUACCCUAAGCUGAUGAAAACAAAACAAUAUUUUUAAAACUGGUUAGUUCAGCAAAAUAAGUUUGUAAGAAUGAAAAAUUAUAUUCAUGACUCUCCAUUAAUGAAAUUGAAUUAAUUCAGUGGUUCUCAACCAGGGAUACUUUUGUCCCUGAGGGACACAUGGCAGUGCUUAAAGAUACAUAGUUUGAUUGUCAAAACCUGAUGGAGGAGAGGCAGGAAAAGGUUCGCAGUGCUACUGCCUACUAGUUAGAAGCAAGAGUUGAUGAUGCACAUCCUGUAAUGCACAGGACAGUUUUCUACCACAAAAUAGUCUGGCCCCAAAGUCAGUAGUGCCAAGGCUGUGAAACUCUGAUCGAAUAUGUACCAUGGAUGUGCCAAAAAGUAUGGGUGUUUGGCAACAGCAAAUUUCACUUUUUAAUUUGCCCAGGAAAGGCAAGGACUGCAGCCAGCCAUCUGGGCUGCUGCUUUUCCUGGUGAGCAUCAUGUGACACCUUUGUAACUAAAUAAUUCCUUUAGGCAUACACAUCAGAAAUCUGGAUAGCUGUCUCCCAAGUUAUGCUGAAUUGAGCUUUAGUUAGGUAGAAAAAAUAAAAUUAGAAUCAUCUAUGUAAUGUAUUUGGUGUUAACAAAGCAAAAGUUUUUUGUUGAAUAAUAUAAUCCAGAUUUACAACUUAUUAUUUUUUGAAAUUAGUGAAAUAUAGAAUGGAAUAUUCAUAUUAGUCACUCUCAAUCUUUUCCAAUUUUAUUGAAUUUGAUUUCUAUCUGAUUACAUAUUUUGCUAUAUCUAGUAUUUGAUUAUAUACUAGUUAUAUAUUAUUUGAUUACAUAAUCAUGUAUGAAGAAGCAGCAUUGUGUAUUAUGUUUUCUUGUAAUAUCUGGGCAAUUCUUUUUAACCAAAAGAUGUUUAAAGGAGGAAAUAACAAGUUCCAUUUUUUUUAAUCUUUCUGAUAUUUACAGAAAAUAAUAGGCAACAAACCCACAAUAUGUUUCUGAAAAAUAAAGUAGGGGAUGUCUUUCUUUGGUUAAUAGAUCUUGUAAAACUGGGUUUUGGGCUCUUUCAUCUGCCAGGAUAGUAAAAAGUAAGAUUUCCUUCUUGUAUUAUUUAGAGUUCUAACAGCUUUUUUCCAGAGUACUCAGAUGGGAGCAGCAGAAACAGGGUAAAGGUGCCAAUGGUGGCAAAACCGUGCAAGAUGAGCAUGCUUCUUUUGAUGAAUGGUGGCUUCCCAGAGGAGCAGAGAAUAAACAGAUGGGUGGGAGUUCUCAUUUGGAAGAAAUGUCCCCAAGUAAGUGGGAGGAGGACUCCACCGGGGUCAGGUUGAGGACUUCCUCCAAACUCGCGUAACCUAUAAAUUCAUAGCUCACUUUCCACCCUUUUUAAUAGACAUUAUGGAAUAACAUCCUGGCAGACCGCUGGGUUCAUAAACCCUGAAAGAAAAAUUAUUUGCAAUGCUUAGAAUGUUUAUGAGAAGGUGGCAGGUGCAACAAAUUUGUUCUGCUUUAUUUUUAAACUUCCUUGUUAAAUAGGUUAUCAUAUUUCUCUCUUUUUUUGUUUAGUGUUACAUUUUUUAAUGGACCUGGGUUGUAUUUCUGCAUUUUUAGCAGCUAAGUACCUAUACAAAUGUAAAUAUAUUAUAUAUUAAGUAUUGAGAAAUUCUUAAUUAUAAUAUUGUGUGAAGUAUACUGUGAACCAGUGUAGCAUAAUUGUCAGAUUAAAUGUUUUUAUAGUUAACUUUGGAAAUACAAUAUUAAUUCUCUUCUUAAACCUUUAAUUUUCUUCUGAUGUUUCUUAAACUAUGCUUUUAUAUCCCUAACAGGGCAUAUCUGAGCAUAUAUAUUCUAAGAACAAGAAAAAACACAUAAAAAUAUAGUGCUUCCUCCUAAUAAUUCUGGAUUGAAUGUGCCAAGGAAAAAAGCUAAAAUGUAUUUAUUUGCUUUGAUAGUUAUGAGGCAGAGUGAGGCAGAGCAAGGGAGAGGGAGAGUUACCAUCCACUGUUUCAUUCCCUCAAGUGUCUACAGUGUUUGGUGUCAGGCUGCAGCUGAGGCCAGAAGGCUAGAGCCCCAUUUUGGUCUCACAUACGGAUGACAGAAGCCCAGUUAGUAGAGCCUUCCAUGCUGCCUCCCAGCAUUUCCAAUACCAGUAAGCUGGAUGCAGGUUUGAAUUCAGACACCCUGAUGCGAGACACAGGCAUCUUAGCUGUCAUCUUAACCACUAGGCUAAACAGCCACUCUACAAGCAGAGAAUUCAGUCCCUUGCAUAGGUUUCUUUUACUCUUGGUAUUAAAGCACACACACACACACACACACAAAAUAGCCUGGAUUUGACAGAGUUAAGUAAACUAAAAAAAAAAAAAAAAAAAA